rnacentral:rRNA from 1 species
UACGGAGGGUGCGAGCGUUGUCCGGAAUCACUGGGCGUAAAGGGCGCGUAGGCGGCCUGAUAAGUAGGGGGUGAAAUCCUGCGGCUUAACCGCAGGGCUGCCUUCUAAACUGUCAGGCUAGAGCACAGUAGAGGCAGGUGGAAUUCCCGGUGUAGCGGUGGAAUGCGUAGAGAUGGGGGAGAACACUCGUGGCGAAGGCGGCCAGCUAGACCAGUUCUGACACUGAGGCGCGACAGCGUGGGGAGCAAACAGG